UGCAGUCGAACGAUGAAGCCCAGCUUGCUGGGUGGAUUAGUGGCGAACGGGUGAGUAACACGUGAGUAACCUGCCCUUAACUCUGGGAUAAGCCUGGGAAACUGGGUCUAAUACCGGAUAGGAGCGYCYACCGCAUGGUGGGUGUUGGAAAGAUUUAUCGGUUUUGGAUGGACUCGCGGCCUAUCAGCUUGUUGGUGAGGUAAUGGCUCACCAAGGCGACGACGGGUAGCCGGCCUGAGAGGGUGACCGGCCACACUGGGACUGAGACACGGCCCAGACUCCUACGGGAGGCAGCAGUGGGGAAUAUUGCACAAUGGGCGCAAGCCUGAUGCAGCGACGCCGCGUGAGGGAUGACGGCCUUCGGGUUGUAAACCUCUUUCAGUAGGGAAGAAGCGAAAGUGACGGUACCUGCAGAAGAAGCACCGGCUAACUACGUGCCAGCAGCCGCGGUAAUACGUAGGGUGCGAGCGUUAUCCGGAAUUAUUGGGCGUAAAGAGCUCGUAGGCGGUUUGUCGCGUCUGUCGUGAAAGUCCGGGGCUUAACCCCGGAUCUGCGGUGGGUACGGGCAGACUAGAGUGCAGUAGGGGAGACUGGAAUUCCUGGUGUAGCGGUGGAAUGCGCAGAUAUCAGGAGGAACACCGAUGGCGAAGGCAGGUCUCUGGGCUGUAACUGACGCUGAGGAGCGAAAGCAUGGGGAGCGAACAGGAUUAGAUACCCUGGUAGUCCAUGCCGUAAACGUUGGGCACUAGGUGUGGGGACCAUUCCACGGUUUCCGCGCCGCAGCUAACGCAUUAAGUGCCCCGCCUGGGGAGUACGGCCGCAGGCUAAACUCAAGGAAUUGACGGGGGCCCGCACAGCGGCGGAGCAUGCGGAUUAAUUCGAUGCACGCGAAGAACCUUACCAAGGCUUGAC
rnacentral:rRNA from 1 species